rnacentral:rRNA from 1 species
AUUGAACGCUGGCGGCAGGCCUAACACAUGCAAGUCGAACGAGUUGCGGACGGGUGAGUAAUGUCUGGGAAACUGCCCGAUGGAGGGGGAUAACUACUGGAAACGGUAGCUAAUACCGCAUACCAUCGGAUUAGCCCAGAUGGGAUUAGCGUGUAGGUGAGGUAACGGCUCACCUAGGCGACGAUCCCUAGCUGGUCUGAGCGGAUGAUCAGAGAGCGUGGAACUGGGACACGGUCCAGACUGCGACGGGGGGCAGCAGUGGGGAAUAUUGCACAAUGGGCGCAGGGCUGAUGCAGCCAUGCGGCGUGGAUGAAGAGGGGCUUAGGGUUGUAAAGUCCUGUCAGCAGGGAGGCGUUACCCGCAGAAGAAACACCGGCUAACUCCGUGCCAGCAGCCGCGGUAAUAC